GGUUGAUCCUGCCGGACCUGACUGCUAUCGGAUUGAUACUAAGCCAUGUGAGUCAUUGUAGCAAUACAAGGCAGACGGCUCAGUAACACGUAGUCAAUCUACCCUAUGGACGGGGAUAACCUCGGGAAACUGAGGAUAACACCCGAUAGAUCAUAAUUCCUGGAAUGGUUUAUGGUCCAAACGAUUCGUCGCCGUAGGAUGGGACUGCGGCCUAUCAGCUUGUUGGUGAGGUAAUGGCCCACCAAGGCUAUUACAGGUACGGGCUCUGAGAGGAGAAGCCCGGAGAUGGGUACUGAGACACGGACCCAGGCCCUAUGGGGCGCAGCAGGCGAGAAACCUUUGCAAUGUGCGCAAGCACGACAAGGUUAAUCCGAGUGUUUCCUGCUAAAGGAAUCUUUUGUUAGUUGUAAAACCACUAUCGAAUAAGGGGUGGGCAAGUUCUGGUGUCAGCCGCCGCGGUAAAACCAGCACCUCAAGUGGUCAGGAGGAUUAUUGGGCCUAAAGCAUCCGUAGCCUGUUCUGUAAGUUUUCGGUUAAAUCCACUAGCUCAACUAGUGGGCUGCCGAAAAUACUGUAGAACUAGGGAGUGGGAGAGGUAGACGGUAUUCGGUAGGAAGGGGUAAAAUCCUUUGAUCUAUUGAGGACCACCUGUGGCGAAGGCGGUCUACCAGAACACGUUCGACGGUGAGGGAUGAAAGCUGGGGGAGCAAACCGGAUUAGAUACCCGGGUAGUCCCAGCUGUAAACGAUGCAGACUCGGUGAUGCCCUGGCUUGUGGCCAGUGCAGUGCCGCA
rnacentral:rRNA from 1 species